UUUCAAUGCAGUUGUAGGUUUCUGUGUCUAACAUUUGAUCGUCCAUCUUAUUUAAUUUUUGUUAUGAUUAAUAUUUUGUUUGUUAUUAGAUGAUAAAACAUAAAUAAUACUUUAUGCGUGACUUAUUUUUUUAAUUUUCUAAAAUAUGAUAGAUGGUUAAAUAUUAGAUACGGAAACCCACAACUACACUUAAA
rfam:Oryza meridionalis cultivar OR44 (W2112) chromosome 4, whole genome shotgun sequence.